rnacentral:lncRNA from 1 species
UGAUCACAACCGCCGGUCCCCUGGUGGUGAGCAAUUCAUCGAACAACUGGUAGGCAUGUUGUUGGUAAAAACAAAGUCUCUACAACAUUUUCAGACUCUCUAAAUUGGAUAACACGGAUCAAAUAGAAGCAAAGAACAAUGUAAUUAAUAAAAGCAGUACGACUGAAGCAUAUGUGUCUACAACGAAGCAACUAUAUCACAACCCACUUAAAAUGAAAACAACGUGAUGGAAUUGUGAAAAUAGGUGAGAGAGAUCGUACUUUCAUACCACCACCACAUGCAAACCAUGUUUACAAAUUGCAGAAUCAAACAGAGAAAGUAGGACCUAAACAAUCAUGGAAAGUAUCAGAUUUUGGGUUGUGCACGCAAGAUGCUUGAUGAAAGUCCUGAACCAGAAUUGGUUCUUUUUUCAAUUUUAUGUAUGCUUUAUUGGUUCAUGAACCACCUAAAUCGCCUGAUUCCAGUUUAUUAAUCCUCCACAGAAUUCAUUUAUCCGUCCAAUCAGCAAUGUAACGUUGGUCAAAAUCUUCUUAGAUGCCUUGUAUUCGUAUUUCGGUGGUUGUUUCCGCUCGUAGACUGAUAAUUAUGAAUUUAUGAUGGGCUGGUUUUGAGAACAUGAAAGGAACUUGUAACUGUUCUUGCUGAUGAUUAUGGUCAAUUGGGCGAUCAUAGCACGUUGAUGGUUAUUUACAAUGCUGAAGUCUGCAUCUAUACAAAUAGUUGAUUAACGAUCAGCCCUCAUGUUUUGUUGUCCCCCCUCAAUCAUCAGUUAAUAGAAAUUUUGUCAUCGACUAUGGUCAAAUUCAAAGAUUUGAAAGAGUUACAAAAUCGACUGGCUGUUCAGUAGUUGUUGAGAACAGUAUACUGGGGGUCAAUGUGGUCAAGAUUCUGAUAAACAAAAUGGAUGAGAAACAAGUUUUUUUUGGUGAGUUUUUUUGGUAAAAAAAGUUUUAUUCCAGGUGGAAUUGCUGUGUUUAAAGUCUGAAUCGCCAACAAAUAAUUUGAAUCAUGUAGUUAAUAAUGUUGGAAAACAGUAAAAGUGGAACCAAAUUUUGGAGAAUUCUAAAUCAGGAGGACUCCCGGAUUUAUGCUAAUGGACUUAAUGAGUUUCAAAUAUACUGGCUUUCAUUUUGAACAUAUAUUAUCCAUUACAUAUAGAUUGAUUUACAACUUUUAGGACCGUCAUAUCAAUUUUUAUUUUUUUAAAUCUCUGCAUUUGACCAAAAAACCCAACGAUAAUUACUGGGUGCUAAAGAUGGUUUUUAACAACAUGAAACAGGUUUACUUCAUGGCUUUAUGAACAGGGGAGGAGCUUAGAGGAGGCCAGACCGGGCCUCGGCCCGUGCGGUUUUUUCGCCCAGUAGUGUUAAAUUUCAGAUUUUCGGGAAUUUUUUAAAUGUGUAUUGAUUCGGCCCAGGCUGAUUUUAUCUCCAAAAAACAUUCGGCCCACCGGCCACUGUUUAUGAAAUUAUUUAUUAUUC